rnacentral:rRNA from 2 species
AGACCCGAAACCCGGUGAUCUAGCCAUGGGCAGGUUGAAGGUUGGGUAACACUAACUGGAGGACCGAACCGACUAAUGUUGAAAAAUUAGCGGAUGACCUGUGGCUGGGGGUGAAAGGCCAAUCAAACCGGGAGAUAGCUGGUUCUCCCCGAAAGCUAUUUAGGUAGCGCCUCGUGAAUUCAUCUCCGGGGGUAGAGCACUGUUUCGGCUAGGGGGCCAUCCCGGCUUACCAACCCGAUGCAAACUGCGAAUACCGGAGAAUGUUAUCACGGGAGACACACGGCGGGUGCUAACGUCCGUCGUGAAGAGGGAAACAACCCAGACCGCCAGCUAAGGUCCCAAAGUCAUGGUUAAGUGGGAAACGAUGUGGGAAGGCCCAGACAGCCAGGAUGUUGGCUUAGAAGCAGCCAUCAUUUAAAGAAAGCGUAAUAGCUCACUGGUCGAGUCGGCCUGCGCGGAAGAUGUAACGGGGCUAAACCAUGCACCGAAGCUGCGGCAGCGACGCUGAUGCGUUGUU